GCCCAGGUGGUGGAAUUGGUAGACACACCAUCUUGAGGGGGUGGCGCCGAAAGGCGUGCGAGUUCGACUCUCGCCCUGGGCACCA
rnacentral:tRNA from 1 species